rnacentral:rRNA from 1 species
UUGAAGUAAAAAUUGUAACAAGGUUUCCGUAGGUGAACCUGCGGAAGGAUCAUUAUUGAUUUUAUUUAUUUUUGUGGAUUUUUAUUUUAUUACAGCGUCAUUUUAUUUCAAUUAUAACUAUCAACAACGGAUUUUUUGGCUCUCACAUCGAUGAAGAACGCAGCGAACCCCGAUAUUUUUUGUGACUUGCAGAUGUGAAUCAUCAAUCUUUGAACGCACCUUGCGCGGUAUGGCAUUCCGUACCGCCCGGAUGGAGGAGCGUGUUCCCUCUGGGAUCGCAUUGCUUUCUUGAAAUGGAUUUUUUUAAACUCUCAAUUAUUACGUCAUUCACCUCCUCAUCCGAGAUAGCCCC